rnacentral:lncRNA from 1 species
GAGACAGCGCCGCCGGCCGUGGGGAGCGGACGCAGUGAUUUGCUCCCCCUCGUGCAGCAACCCCCACACCCAGCACCAGGCCCCCAGAACUCUCCUUCCAGCUGAACUCCCUGGGAACAAGUCAGUUGGGCUGAUCACUGAACUCACAUUUCUGGACCUGAGGAGCCUGUUCCUCUCACGCCCUCACCUGGCUGAGCCGCAGUAGUUCUUCAGUGGCAAGCUUUAUGUCCUGACCCAGCUAAAGCUGCCAGUUGAAGAACUGUUGCCCUCUGCCCCUGGCUUCGAGGAGGAGGAGGAGCUGCUUUCCCCAUCAUCUGGAAGGUGACAGAAAUGGGCUGGGAAGGUCCGGACAGCAGGGUGGAUGAUAACAUUUUGGGCAAGUUGGAGAGCCUUUGCCCAGAUUGGCCCGGCAAGGAGCGGUUUUAGAUUAGAGACACUGGCUGGAUUGAGGAGUAGAAGGCUCAAACAACCCAAGGAAGCUGUGUCUGUUCGAUUUGGUGGGAGGAGAUGUGCAGGGAGCUGUAUCUUGUCCUCCGCUUGUGAAAAACUCAAGGAUGUGGAGAAGAGUAGACCGUGGAA